CCUAACAGGUACAUUUAGCCCUAUGUGCAGUACAAAAUCGACUGAAAUGUCUGAGUGCGUCAGGAAAUAAAUGAUGAAGUGAGAAGAUACAAAUAAGUUUUAAGACGUACACCUGCACCUCUGACUGUAGAAUCAGUGUUGCCUGUCAUACUCUUCCUAAACUUGAUGCCAUCCUCCAAGCCAGCAAUGUCCCUGUGUUCCCUGAACUCUAGCAUGUGGCUGGAGCUCCAGCAACAAUCUUGGACCAUAACGAAACCUUUCAGCCAGGAAAUGACACAGGAGAAGCCAAGCCUCUAAAGACCAAUGCACCAUCCUGUGAGAUGUAGACUACUCACCCGCAGUCUUGUUUUACUUCAAGGAAAAGCUGUGAAAAUUUCUGUUAUUUUUGUUGUUACUAGCUGUCAAAUGUAAA